GUACUAACCCCCGUGUUAUGGGCUUCGUGUAGGUAUCCUUGAUUCGCGGAAAUUCGACAGCUGACCGGGUCUGCAAAUUUCAGGCCAGACAGACCCGUUACCGGAAAAGUCUCCGAAUUGGACCGAGGUUUUGGCUAGCCCCCCAUUGUCAGACGUCCCGAGCGCGUUCCCGAAGUCGGAAUCGGCAAAGGUGAGCCGGGACAGCCUUCUUCCUCCGCCCAGCCGCCACAGUAAUUUGUCGUCAAGUUUGCCGCAGGAGGAUAUUUUGUUCUGGGUUAACCUGCUUUUCUACUUCGCAGGUUGUUUAUUAAUAUUUGUGUAAUUUUAUUUACUCCUAGAAUUUCCGCAUGUGUUAGUAGUAAUUAUUUGAAUUUGGUCUGUAAUAUUAUUAUCAUGUUGGACCUAUAAACUUAAUAUUUUAAGUCUGUUUUGAUGGAUUGGAUGAGGGAGCUGAGCUCCCAUUUAUUAUUAUGUUGAUGAGUAUGUGGAGGGUGAGCUGAGCUCCCCAAUGGAUUGUUUAUUGUGUUUACAGGUCGGGUGAGUCAAAAACUCCCCGUUGGUAA